GGCAUGAGGAUUGGCUGCUCCACUGCUGCUCUCAGGUAGAGGGAUCUGUGUGCAAGGACGGGAGGAAGCCUGUAGGAGCAGGCAGCCAGCACAGAGCUAGAGCUCGCAGGCUACCAUAGCUUAGAGCUGAACUCUGCCAACUCCUGCAUGAUCAAGAAAAUGGAUCCUCCCGGAACGCAAGUGGAGAGCAUCAGCCUGCCAGCACCUACAUCUUAGCCUGGUGAGACUCAUUCUCAACCUGACUUAAAGGACUGUGAGCUGCCAUCACAGAUCAGGUCCAAGGAUGACUAAGACUUCAAAUCCUGAUCACCUGUACCUGCAGAGUGGUUCUGACUGGCCAGGGUCCUUAUUUUUUCUGGAAGUGAGACAAAGACACUCUACUAGAUUAAAAUUCUCUCAGUGUUCAUGAUGUACCAUUUAAGCAAAAAGUCACUCUGAUGGGACACAGUUUCAGCAAUGGCCUUUCCUUACUUGCUUCUCCCAUCAGAAUUCCUACAGCAGUUGUUUUAUGGAUAAAUUGCAGGACAACUUACUUACCCAUGGUGGGGUGAAGAAUUUGUAUAAUAGCCAGUGCUGGCUAUUCUGAGCAAGACUGCCCUUAUUGGCAAGAGAAAAGUGCUUGGACAGGCUGAAUAAUUGCCUCCUAAUAAAGAUGUCUGCAUCUUAA